rnacentral:rRNA from 1 species
UACGGAGGGGGCAAGCGUUGUUCGGAAUUACUGGGCGUAAAGGGCGCGUAGGCGGCUUGUUAAGUCGGAUGUGAAAUCCCCGGGCUCAACCCGGGAACUGCGUCCGAUACUGGCAGGCUUGAGUCCGGGAGAGGGAUGCGGAAUUCCAGGUGUAGCGGUGAAAUGCGUAGAUAUCUGGAGGAACACCGGUGGCGAAGGCGGCAUCCUGGACCGGCAUUGACGCUGAGGCGCGAAAGCCAGGGGAGCAAACGGG